rnacentral:lncRNA from 1 species
CGACGCAGCCAUGCUGGGCAUGGUAGCAUGCGCCUGUAGUCCCAGCUACUUGGGAGGCUGAGGCAGGAGAAUCGCUUGAACCCGGGAAGCAGAGGUUUCAGUGAGCAGAGAUCAGCGCCACUGCACUCCAGCCUGGACGACAGAGCGAGACUUCGCCACUGCACUCCAGCCUGGACGACAGAGCGAGACUUCGUCUCAAAAAGAAAAAAACCUCUGCGACUUGAUAUCAAAAGAAAGCUAACUGCUAGAUCUGAUCGAGUUAAGAGUGUGGAUCUGCAUCCUACAGAGCCAUGGAUGUUGGCAAGUCUUUACAAUGGCAGUGUGUGUGUUUGGAAUCAUGAAACACAGUGUGAAAAAUAUUCCUGCCUUUGGAGAGCUUAGCAGGAAAGAUUGGCACUAAACAUAAUUAUGAGGUGCUACAUUAUGAAAGGGAAGUACAAGUUUCCAUGGGUGGAUUUUCAAGUCAGAGACAACAAGAGCAGAGACACUGGUGAAGACAUUUGAAGUAUGUGAUCUUCCUGUUCGAGCUGCAAAGUUUGUUGCAAGGAAGAAUUGGGUUGUGACAGGAGCGGAUGACAUGCAGAUUAGAGUGUUCAAUUACAAUACUCUGGAGAGAGUUCAUAUGUUUGAAGCACACUCAGACUACAUUCGCUGUAUUGCUGUUCAUCC